rnacentral:rRNA from 1 species
UACAGAGGUAUCAAGCGUUGUUCGGAUUCAUUGGGCGUAAAGGGCGCGUAGGCGGCGGGGUAAGUCGGGUGUGAAAUCUCAGAGCUCAACUCUGAAACUGCACUCGAUACUGCUCUGCUUGAGGACUGGAGAGGAGACUGGAAUUCACGGUGUAGCAGUGAAAUGCGCAGAUAUCAGGAGGAACACCGGUGGCGAAGGCGGUGGUCUGGGCCGGCACUGACGCUGAGGAGCGAAAGCGUGGGUAGCAAACAGG